UAAAUCAACCCUACUUCCAUUUCAAAUCUGCUGUAUAAAUAGAGAAGCAUCUUAGCCUAAUAUUUCAUCAAAUAUCAGACACUUUCUCUGCAGGCAAAUUAAGAAGGGUUAAAAAUGGUGUUCUCAGCCAUAUUAAGUUGUUUUGUUCCAUCUUCUUCCUCGACCCGAGUCUUCAAUGAUGCUGGUGGGUCUAGUGUGAAGGAACCUAAGAGCAAGUCAUCGAAAUCUUCAUCAAGAGCUCCGAUCCCGGUCUCUUACUUCCCUGUUAACUCCUACCUCUCUCGCUUGUAGUGAUUAAUUUCAUGGCAAGGUGGAGUUAGAAUUUGAAGAAUAUCAAUCGAUUAUUCAUUCAGUCUAGGUAUGAUAUGAUGGGGUUCCUCAUCAUGCAGUUGCUUGAGGAGUGAUGAUGGAGUUUGUUUUAAUGUACAGUUUGAUGAUUAAUUUGCAAUAAUUAAUUUCAAGAAUAUUGUUGAUUUCCUCCAAUUGCAUGCAAUGAAACAGCUCUUUUUAAUGUAAGUCGGGUGCGAUGAUACCAUGAAAUUACCUGCAACCAAAUAAGACAUUAACCCCAACUGAAUUUUCUUGUUGUUUCUGAAUUUGAUCAGUAAAGGAGGAAGUCUUAAAAAAGCCUAUGGAAAAUGACCCCACCAUUUUGGAGAAACACUAGGUGAAAUUUGAUCCACAGAAUGAAGAUCAGGUAUUCAUGGUGGGAUUUGCCUUAUGGUCCAUGACGAUAAAAGCUUAUUAUUCUUCUAUGCAUGCACCAAAGAAAAAGGGAAAAUUAAGCCGCCUUACUUUGCCUUUUUAUUCUCCUAAAAAGUCUGCAAUAUGCGCCUCAAAUCCAACCUAAGUGUCUCUGACACCCUCUUUCUGUCCAUCCAUUAAAAGGUACUAACUUUAAAAUUGUGAUAUCUCACAUAUUAUAGAAAAAAAGUUUGAUUUUAAUCUUGUAUAUAUAUUUUAAAGUUGUGAGUAUCUCUCGAACUUUAAUGAACAAUAUCUACGCAAGAGAUGACAAAUUAUUAUAAAUUAUAUUAGAGUUAAUUUCCUAUCCAAUGAAAGUUUAUUUGACCUUGUAAAUGAUUUUUAUCUUUUUGUUAUCACAAUUCUAUGCAUUAUAAUGAGGACGUUGCGUCCAUUUGAAGGUACGCUAUAUAUGUAUUGAUUCUUCUUCAUUUUAUAAGCAUUUUUUAAAGUCAUGAGUGUUUAUGAGGCACAAAAUGGAUCACUACAAAUAAUAAAAUAUUAAAGAAAAGACAAAAAGGGAACUUCGAACAACUUAUGAAGAUCAACAAUAUAUACUAGACCGUUAACAUUAUCUAUUUAUCUUUGAAUCGAGCAAGCAACAGUGAUUGACAUGCUUGUUGGUGGGACCUAAUUCAACAAUGAAUUGUUUUUUUUGAUAGGAAACAAUGAAUUGUAUUACCACAUAUUUUAAUACUUAAAGUUUCUAUAAUUAAUUAGUCUUUGAAAAUGAUACAUAUUUAUUGUAGAGGCUACAACAAAAGCCUCUGCAAUUAUUUUUAAGAGAAAUUAUUUAAGGGAUUUUUUGUAAUAAGAACAUGAAAUAAUAAUUUAUUUUAUUUUUCAAAAAAGCGUCUAUUUCAUAAAUUAAUUUUAGUGAUUUUCUAGAUUUUUAAAAAUUUACUGAGCACAAUAUUAAAAACUUUUGUAUUCUAGGGAAGUCAUGAGACUUGGUCAAGAUAUGGAAUAUGGGAUGACGUUAAGCCUGAGAAAGAAAAUAUAAUUUCCCGGAAAGUAAAAGUAGGAUGUCUAAGGAAGAAAGCAUGAGAAUCACAUUGGAUGAUUAGUUUUAUUUAAUCUUAUUCCAAAGGAGACUUUAGCUAAUAUGUUUUAAUUUUCUUCAUUGUUUUGGUCCCACCCUCUAUUUGUUUGUUGCCUAGAGCUUCCCAUUUUUGCUGAAAGGUUUUCUUCUUCUGUGUCAGACUAAUCAAAAUUUCAAAGGUGGUGUAAUUUGACACGACUUUCUUCAAAGAUUCGGGCCCUAGUGUACAAAAGCUUAGUUGUCGGGUCUUUUUCUAUAGUCAAAUGACUCAGAUCAAGGUAGCAGCAGCUGCCACGAUUGUCACAGGAAGCUCAAGGGAAUCAACCAUCUGAGAUAUUUAUAGUUUAGCUUUCCUUGAUAUGCAAGUAAACCAACCCUACUUCCAUUUCAGAUCUGCAUUAUAAAUAGAGAAGCAUAUGUUAGCCUAAUAUUUCAUCAAAUAUCACACACUUUCUCUCUUUUCUAGUUUUCUGAUCAGGCAAAUUAAGAAGGGUUAAAAAUGGUGUUCUCAGCCAUACUAAGUUGCUUUGUUCCAUCAUCUUCCUCGUCCCGAGUCUACAAUGAUGCUGGUGGGUCUAGUGUGAAGGGACCUAAGAGCAAGUCAUCGAAAUCUUCAUCAAGAGCUCCGAUUCCGGUCUCUUACUUCCCUGUUAACUCCUACCUCUCUCGCAUGUAGUGAUUAAUUUCAUUGCAAGGUGGAGUUAGAAUUUGAAGAGUAUGAAUGGAUCAUUGAUUCAGUCUAGGUAUCAUAUGAUGGGGUUCUUCAUCAUGCAGUCGCUCAAGGAGUGAUGACGGAGUUGGUUUUCAUGUACAGUUUGAUUGAAGAAUAUUGUAUUAGAUCUUCAUCUUGUUAAUUUCCUCCAACUGCAUGCAAUAAACAGUUCUUUUUAAUAGAAAGUUGGGUACGAUGAUACCAUGAAAUUACCUGCAACCAAAUAAGACAUCAGCCCCUACUAUGAAAAUUAAGAAACACACAAAAAAGUUCAGUUGGGGUUUCCAUUGGAAAGAAUCGGUACUUGAAAUAUUGGCAAUCAGUGAUUACCAUAUGUAUAACUGCUAAGUAAACCCUAGAAUCAGUUAGGGUUUACCAUCAUCGAAGACAAAGGUUGUUCGUAUCAUAUAUUAAGCAAAAACUACUUACAUCAUACAGAAGAUAAUCAGUAAGGGAAGAAGUCUUAAAAAAAGAAAAGGAAACUGAACCUACGAUUUUGGAGAAAUUAGGGUGUAAUUUGAUCCACAAGGUGAUGACUGAUGAGUAGAUAUGCAUGGUGGGAUUUGCCCCAGCGGUCCAUGAUGAUAGAAGGCUAUUAUCCUUUUACACAAGCACUAAAAGAAAAAGGAAAAAUUAAGCCGCCAUGCUUUGUCUUUUCAUCCGCCCAAAAGUCUUGCAAUAUGCACCUCAAAUCAAACCUAAGAGUAUCAAUCACUCUCUUUCUCUCCAUCCAUUAAAAAGUAUUAAUUUCAAACUUGUGAUAUCUCACAUUGUAGGAAAUAAUAGCCUAAUAUUAUAUAUGUAUAGGUUUUUUAAUUUUGUACAUGUACUUUAAAGUUGUGAAUAUUGUUGAACUUAAAAUGGAUAAUAUCUACAUGAAAAAGAGUAAGUCAUUACAAAUGAUAUUAAAAUUGAUCAUCAAUCUUAAUGUGAGAGUUUAUUUGACCCUGCAAUGAAUCUUUUUAUUUCUAUGAUCCUAUGAGAUACCACAAAGAUAUUGUGUACUCAUAUGAGGGUGCGUUAUAUAUGUAUUGAUUCUUCUUCUUCUUAUAAAUAAAUUUUAAAGUUGUGAGUGCCUAUGAGACCCAAAGCGGAUUAGUACAAAUAUUUAUAUAGACUUACAUUUAAAUCUAAUAAAAUAUUAUUUGUUAUAUUAAAAUAAAUUGUUGUUUUUUUAAAUGAAUUGGAAAUAUUUUGAAGUGUUUGUUUAUAAAGAAUUUUAAUAAAUAAUUGAAGAUAUGAAGAUUGAUUGUAGGGGACUCCUGACAUGUGUUCAACAUUUCAAAUAUUGGCGAGUACCUAAGAUAUUUAUUUGAUAUUAUUCCAAAGGAGACUUUAGCUAAUAUGCUUUAAUUUUCUUAAUAGUUUUGGUCCCACCCUCUAUUUGUUUGUUCCCUAGAGCUUCAUAUAUAUAUAUUAGACUAGUCAAAAUUUGAAAGGUAAUAUAAUUUGACAUGAUUUGUCUUCAGACUUGGACGCUACAUUCCCCCUGUACAAAAGUUUGACUGUUAAUUCGGUUUUUUUCUAUAGUCAGAUUAAGCUGGCAGCAGCCGGCACGAUUGUCACAGGAAGCGCAAGGGAAUUUACCAUCUCAUAGAUUAAUCAAUUAGCUUUCCUUGCUAUGCAAGUAAAUCAACCCUACUUCCAUUUCAUAUCUGCAUUAUAAAUAGAGAAGCAUAUGUUAGUCUAAUAUUUCAUCAAAUGUCACACACUUCCUCUCAUUUCUAGUUUUCUCAGGAAAAUUAAGACGGGUUAAAAAUGGUCUUCUCAGCCAUAUUAAGUUGCUUUGUGCCAUCAUCUUCCUCGUCCCGAGUCUUCAAUGAUGCUGGUGGGUCUAGUGUGAAGGAACCUAAGAGCAAGUCAUCGAAAUCUUCAUCAAGAGCUCCGAUCCCGGUCUCUUACUUCCCUGUUAACUCAUACCUCUCUCGCUUGUAGUGAUUAAUUUCAUGGCAAGGUGGAGUUAGAAUUUGAAGAAUAUCAAUCGAUUAUUCAUUCAGUCUAGGUAUCAUAUGAUGGGGUUCUUCAUCAUGCAGUUGCUUGAGGAGCGAUGAUGGAGUUUGUUUUAAUGUACAGUUUGAUGAUUAAUUUGCAAUAAUUUGAUUGAAGAAUAUUGUAUUAGCUAGAUCUUCAUCUUGUUAAUUUCCUCCAACUGCAUGCAAUGAAACAGGUGUUUGAUGAUACCAUGGAAUUACCUGCAAAUAAAUAAGACAUCAAAACCAAUCUGAAAAUUCAGAAACAGCAAAAAAUUAAGUUCAGUUGGCCGGGGAUUCCAUUGGAAAUUAAGAAUCGGUACUUGAAAUGGAAAUUAGUGAUUACCAUAUGGAUAACAGCUAAUAAAACCCCAGAAUCAAUUAGGGUUUAUCAUCAUAUAUUAAGCAAAAACUACGUGCAUUAUACAGAUGAUGAUUGGUAAAGGAAGAAGUCUUAAAAAUGCAUGCCAAUGGAAAAAUUAGGGUGAAAUUUGAUCAACAGAGUGAUGAUU
rnacentral:lncRNA from 1 species